CUACUACUACUACUACUGCUACUACUGCUACUACUGCUACGACUGCUACUACGGCUACGACGGCUACUACGGCUACUACGGCUACUACGCCUACGCCUACGACUACGACUACGACUACGACUACGACGACGACUACGACUACGACGACGACUACGACGAUGACUACGACUACGACUACGACUACGACGACGACUACGACUACGACUACGACUACGACUACGACGACGACUACGACGACGACUACGACGAAGACUACGACGACGACUACGACUACGACUACGACGACGACUACGACGACGACUACGACGACGACGACG
rnacentral:lncRNA from 1 species